GAAGAACAGUACUGAAUGAAUGAGAUUCCACACUGAAGAACAUUACUGAUUGAGCGAGAUUCCACACUGAAGAACAUUACUGAUUGAGCAAGAUUCCACUAUGAUAACAUUAGUGAUUGUGUGAGAAUUAAAUUACAUCACUACAAAAGCAGUGAAAUAAA